rnacentral:rRNA from 1 species
GUGGGGAAUAUUGGACAAUGGGCGAAAGCCUGAUCCAGCCAUGCCGCGUGUGUGAAGAAGGUCUUCGGAUUGUAAAGCACUUUAAGUUGGGAGGAAGGGCAGUAAGUUAAUACCUUGCUGUUUUGACGUUACCGACAGAAUAAGCACCGGCUAACUUCGUGCCAGCAGCCGCGGUAAUACGAAGGGUGCAAGCGUUAAUCGGAAUUACUGGGCGUAAAGCGCGCGUAGGUGGUUUUGUAAGUUGGAGGUGAAAUCCCCGGGCUCAACCUGGGAACUGCCUCCAAAACUGGAUGACUAGAGUACGGUAGAGGGUAGUGGAAUUUCCUGUGUAGCGGUGAAAUGCGUAGAUAUAGGAAGGAACACCAGUGGCGAAGGCGACUACCUGGACUGAUACUGACACUGAGGUGCGAAAGCGUGGGGAGCAAACAGGAUUAGAAACCCCAGUAGUCC